rnacentral:rRNA from 1 species
GAUUAUGGCUCAGAUUGAACGCUGGCGGCGUGCUUAACACAUGCAAGUCGCGCGUGAAAGGACUUCGGUCCGAGUAAAGCGGCGCACGGGUGAGUAACGCGUGGAUGAUCUACCCAUGAGUUAGGAAUAACGGCUGGAAACGGUCGCUAAUACCAAAUACGCUCCGAUUUCAACUUCGGGGGAAAGGUGGCCUCUGCUUGCAAGCUACUGCUCAUGGAUGAGUCCGCGUCCCAUUAGCUAGUUGGUGGGGUAACGGCCCACCAAGGCGACGAUGGGUAGCCGGUCUGAGAGGAUGACCGGCCACACUGGGACUGGAACACGGCCCAGACUCCUACGGGAGGCAGCAGUGGGGAAUAUUGCGCAAUGGGCGAAAGCCUGACGCAGCGACGCCGCGUGAGGGGAAUGAAGGUCCUCGGAUCGUAAACCUCUGUCAGGAGGGAAGAACCGCCACGGUGCUAAUCAGCCGUGGUCUGACGGUACCUCCAAAGGAAGCACCGGCUAACUCCGUGCCAGCCGCCGC